AUGGAUGCAGCUAGUUAUUCAUAUACUGAACAUGGUUUUAAAACUGCAAUGGAUGCAUUAAAGAAUGAGAGUGAGGCUGCUUGGGAAUGGCUAAGCAAAAUACCUAAACACACUUGGGCCAGACAUGCAAUGGAUAUGAACUGCAAAACAGACUUAGUUGUUAACAAUCUAAGUGAGGUUUUCAACAAGUGGGUUCUAGAUGUCAGGGCUAAACCAAUUAGGACCAUGGUGGAUGGAAUUAGGACAAAGUUAAUGGUCAAGUUCAAUGCAAAUAGAACAAAGGCUGAGACUGUAAGAUGGGAAAUUUGUCCAACAUAUGCUGAGAAAUUAGAGGAAGCAAAGAAGUUUGCAAGGAACUGUCAUGCUUUGAUGGCUGGGCCCAAUCUUUACCAAGUCACUAGUGGGGAGAGAACUUAUGCUGUGAACCUACAACAUAGGACUUGUGGGUGCAAGAAGUGGGAUAUGACAGCAGUUCCUUGCAAUCAUGCUGUUUCUGCCAUACACAAGGCUAAGCUUCAGCCAGAGGACUUUGUUCAUGAUUUCUUCAAAAAAAAGAUGUACCUGGCAGCUUACAGUCCCAUUAUAUAUCCUGUACCUGGACCUGAUAUGUGGCCAAGGACAGACAGUAUGGACAUUGAGGCUCCAGUUUUCAAAGAACACAAGGGAAGGGCACAGACAAAGAGGAGAAAGGGCCAAUAUGAGAAGCCAGCUCCCAAAGACACCUCAAGAAUGGCCUCCAUUACCUGCUCUAAUUGCAAAAAGGUUGGCCAUAGAUACACCAACUGUAAUGUUGCUUUGAAUCCAUCACUGGCAAUGAGAAAGAAUAGGCAUGAGCCAAGCAGCAGCUCCUAUGAACUUGAUGCAGCCACACCAGCAAGGAGGGCCUCUUCUGCUGCUGGUGCUGCUGCUACUGCACCAUCACCAGCAAGGAGGGCCUCUUCUGCUGCUGGUGCUGCUGCUACUGCACCAUCACCAGCACAGAGGGCAUCUUCUUCUUCUGCUACAGCACCUGGACCAGCAAAGAAGAGGGCCUCUUCUGCUUCUGCAACAACACCUGGACCAGCAAAGAAGAGGGCCUCUUCUGCUUCUGCAACAACACCUGGACCAGCAAAGAAGAGGGCCUCUUCUGCUUCUGCAACAGCACCUGGACCACCAAAGAAGAGGGCCACUUCUGCUGCACCACCACAGAGGACAGCUGCUGGUAGUUCAUCAUCUGUUGCAAAGGGUAAAACAGCAGUAACUAGAUCUUCAGCUGCUGCAAAGGGAGAAAGGGCAUCUUUCUUGCCUCCAAGGCCAACUGGUGUUUCCCAAAGAAUCAGGAAGCCCACCCAGAAAAUUAGAGAUUACUUGACUGCUUCAGGUGCUCCAUGGGAAUGA
rnacentral:rRNA from 1 species